rnacentral:lncRNA from 1 species
CGUGACGUCACUCUCCCAGAAUGCAUGGCUUGCAGCGCGUUGCCCGGCGAUCCAGGCCCCAAACUCCCCAAAACAUCCUUAAACUUCGUUCCUAAUGUCCAUGUGCGCAAAGAAAGGAGCCUGGACUGAGGCUCGGACUGGGACAUUUUUGGUCUUUAAAGAUGUGGAGCUGCACAUGUAAUUUUGGUGUCUGAGGACGUUCAAUACUAAAUUAGACUGCCAGCCAGUACAAGAGCUCUUCUCAGGAAACGCAUAGACCCAGUCAGAGCUUCCAAAGCUCCUCAUCACAGCAGCCCUUUUGGGGUUGCUAUGGCAGCUGCUGUCAAAGGAACCAAGUGCUGGACACAGGCUUUCCCCAGUAAGACAGGACAGACCACUAGUCAUUGCUACAAGAGAACAUCAAACAGUCAGGAAGCAGCACUCAGCAUUAAUUCUGCCCUCGAAGUGAAGAACACGGGCUACUGUGGAUGCUGGUGCUUCUGUCCUCCAUCUUUCUCCUCCUCCAUCAACGGAUGCUGGCACUUCUGUCUGACAAUAUACAGGCAUUUGUAUAGCGUAAUGUCUAUUUUUGUUUACAUUAAACGUGUGUAGUAUCUUUGCUUACAUUGUUUUGGUUAAUAUAAAUAUUUCUGUCCUCUGCUGAUGUUUCCUCCUCAAGCUGCUGUGGAUGCUGGUGCUCCUGUCCUCCAUCUUCAUCCUCCUCCAUCAGUGGAUGGCGAUGGUCCAGUCCAACAUUUUACAGGCAUUAGUAUAAAUUCACCUCUAUUUUUACAUUAAACAUUAGUUCAGAUCAUUUUUGUGUCAAUAAGAGGCUUUACUUACAUUGGUUGUUUUUUUAUUGUUUUGAUUUCUGACGUCUGCUGACGAUUCCUCCUCAGGUUCUUCAGUGGAUGCUGUGGAUGCUGGUGCUCCUGUCUCACAUUUUACAGACAUUUUAAAAAAAGUAAAGUUUAUUUUUACAUUAAAUGUGUGUUCAGUGUUUUUGCUUACAUUGUUUUGGUUGAUGGAGAAGUCUUCUUUGGUCUCUGCCCUCUGCUGAUGUCUCCUCCUGUCCUCACUUGCUGGGAUUAAAAAGGUUUUCUCUAAUUCUAAACUCUAACCUAAGUAAACCUUAUAUAUUAUUCAUGUUUUACAACAGUAACAGGACAACCACUCCUGCUGUUGCCUGUCAUAAAGAAACAAAAUAAAAUCCUUACCAUCUAAAAAAGUCCUGGUACC